rnacentral:ncRNA from 1 species
ACCGCGCCUAGCCCGACGGGGUGAAAUCCGGGUUCCCUUACCCGGUUGGCGCGGUCGUUUCCGUAAGGG